GUUCAAAUGAGGAAAGACAUACUGUGGUUACCUAGGCACCCAGAGAGGAGGAAGGGCGUAGUAAUUAACAAAAUACUUCGGGGAGUUGAAAAUCAGCAUUGAUCUGGAGAUUCCUGAAUAGGGCAAUCUUUUAAACUGCUGCUGAAUCCAUGGGCAGGCAAGAGAGAACUAGGCGAACUAAAAGAUCUUAGUAGCCAUAGGAAAAGAAAGCAAAAACGAUUCCCGUAGUAGCAGCGGGUGAAAUGGGAGCUGCCUAAACCGUGAAAAUGGGGUUGUGGGAGAGCAGUACAAGCAUCGUGCAGCUAGGCGAAGCAGCCCUAAUGUUGCACCCUAGAUGGUGAAAGUCCAGUAGCCGAAAGCAUCACUAACUUAGGCUCUGACCUAAGUAGCAUGGGACACGUGGAAUCCCAUGUGAAUCAGCAAGGACCACCUUGUAAGGCUAAAUACUCCUGGGUGAUCGAUAGCGAAGUAGUACCAUGAGGGUAAAGAACCCCCAGGAGUGAAAUAGAAUAUGAAAACGUAAGCUCCCAAGCAGUGGGAGGAGCCAGGGCUCUGACCGCGUGCCUGUUGAAGAAUGAGCCGGCGACUCAUAGGCAGUGGCUUGGUUAAGGGAACUCACCGGAGCCGUAGCGAAAGUGAGUCUUCAUAGGGCAAUUUUCACUGCUUAUGGACCCAAACUUGGGUGAUCUAUCCAUGACCAGGAUGAAGCUUGGGUGGAUCUAAGUGGAGGUCCGACCGACUGAUGUUGAAGAAUCAGCGGGUGAGUUAUGGUUAGGGGUGAAAUGCCACUUGCACCCAGAGCUAGCUGGUUCUCCUCGAAAUACAUUGAGGUACAGUAGUUGACUGGAUAUCUAGGGGUAAAGCACAAUUUCAGUGUGGGCCGGGAGAGUGGUACCAAAUCGAGGCAAACUCUGAAUACUAGAUAUGACCUCAAAAUAACAGGGGGGCAAGGUCGGCUAGUGAGACGAUGGGGGAUAAGCUUCAUCGUCGAGAUCACCGGCUAAGGCCCCUAAAUGACCGCUAGUGAUAAAGGAGGUAGGGGUGCAGAGACAGCUAGGAGGUUUGCCUAGAAACAGCCACCCUUGAAAGAGUGCGUAAUAGCUCACUGAUCAAGCGCUCUUGCGCCGAAGAUGAAUGGGGCUAAGCGAUCUGCCGAAGCUGUGGGAUGUCAAAAUAUAUCGGUAGGGAUAUUUGAAUCCCACUGUUUCCAGUAUUUUCCGAAAAACAGCAAUUAGGAAUAGAGAAUAUAUAUCAAAGAAAGGUCUAACUGUUGGAAUCAUUUUUUCCAUUGCUAUUUGAUACA
rnacentral:ncRNA from 1 species